rnacentral:rRNA from 1 species
UCCAGACUCCUACGGGAGGCAGCAGUGGGGGAUAUUGCACAAUGGGGGGAACCCUGAUGCAGCGACGCCGCGUGGGUGAAGGAGCGUUUCGGCGCGUAAAGCCCUAUCGGCAGGGAAGAAGGAGGACGGUACCUGACUAAGAAGCCCCGGCUAACUACGUGCCAGCAGCCGCGGUAAUACGUAGGGGGCAAGCGUUAUCCGGAUUUACUGGGUGUAAAGGGGGCGCAGACGGCAGCGCAAGCCAGGAGUGAAAGCCCGGGGCCCAACCCCGGGACUGCUCUUGGAACUGCGCGGCUGGAGUGCAGGAGGGGCAGGCGGAAUUCCUGGUGUAGCGGUGAAAUGCGUAGAUAUCAGGAGGAACACCGGUGGCGAAGGCGGCCUGCUGGACUGCGACUGACGUUGAGGCCCGAAAGCGUGGGGAGCAAACAGGAUUAGAUACCCUUGUAUUC